CUCCAGGUCGAUCCUGUAGCGGUCCUGGAGUUCAGUUUGAGUCUCAAGACGCCUUCGUUCUUCUUCUGCUGCAUUAGUUGCAGCCUCCUCUAGAGCCUGCCCAAAGAAAAACAGGUCCAAUCUUUACCAUCAUGGAUCCCUCCUGCCUGACUUGUGUCAAAGGAACACUUCCACACUGAGCUAUUUUAAAUUCAGGAUACUACAAAAAGGAAAUGAUCUUGCACCAGACAUUUGCCGACCAGAGUGGAUUCACAGGGUAACGUUUAUUGUGUGUUUAUUUUCUCCUCACCUUCCUCAUGUUCUCCAGUUCAAGCUGUUUAGCCUCAUUGGCCGUCUGCAGUUCACUCAUCCUCAGCUCCAGCUCCUCCUGCUCGGCCUGCUGCUUCAGCCGCAGCUCCCGUCGCUUCUGUCGAGCCUCGCGGUGCGGCGCUGGCCGGCCCUGGCGCAGCAGGCUCACACAGGUCUGAACGGCUAAGUGGAAAACAUGGAGGAGACAUUAAAAUCAUGUCUGUAAAUGUAUGCUGACAUUACAAGUAAUACAAAAUGUACAGAUAAUCAGUGAAGAGCUGUGAAGCUUAGAUUUACAAUGUAAUAAAACAAUGAAAAUUAUAGGAAAAUAUAUAUAUACACAGACACAGACACACACAGACACACAGACACACACUCCGCAAGGUAUAUGUCCAUCCAUCCAUCCAUCCAUCCAUCCAUCCAUCCUUCUAUCUGUAGCUAAGAGGAAUUGUGUAAUGAAGAAGAGGAAAAACGUAGUAUUUCUAAUUUAUCUCUUUGUGAAGUUAAUUUUGAAAACAAUGUAAUGAGUUUUUAAAACAAAAAACUGCAAUGUAGGAUAUGUAGUAUUUAGAAAAACAAACUGAAAUCUUUGAGGUUGACAAAUAAAAACCUUCCAAUAACCUGGUUGUAUAAGUGUGCACACCCUCUUUUAACUGGGGAUGUGGCUGUGUUCAGAAUUAACCAAUCACAUUCAAACUCAUGUUAAAUAGAAGUCAUUACACACCUGCCAUCAUUUAAAGUGACUGAUUAAUCACAAAUAAAGUUUAGCUGUUCCAGUAGGAUUUUUCUGACAUUUACUUAGUUGCAUCUCAGUGCAAAAGCCAUUUUCAAAAGAAUUUUCCAAAGCAUUAAAUAUACCAUGGAACACAGUGAAGACAAUCAUCAUCAAGUGGAGAAAAUAUGGCACAACAGACACAUUACCUAGUAUUACCAAGAACCCUCCAAAAUUGAUGAAAAGAAGAGAAGAAAACUGCUCAUGGAGGCUUCCAAGAGGCCUACAGCAACAUUAAAAGGAGCAGCAGGAAUUGGCAAGUCCUGGCUGUGUGCUACAUGUGACAACAAUCUCCUGUAUUCCUCAUAUGAAUGGGCUUUGGGGUAGCGUGGCAAGACGGAAGCCUUUUCUUACAAAGAAAAACAUCCAAGCCAGGCUGAAGUUUGCAGAAACAAACAUCCAGUCUCCCAAAAGCAUGUGGGAAAAUGUGUUAUGGUCAGAUGAAACCAAGGUUGAAUGUUUUGGCCAUAAUUCCAAAAGAUAUGUUUUGCGCAAAAACAGCACUGCGCAUCACCCAAAGGACUCCAUCCCCACAGUGAAGCACGGUGGCGGCAGCAUCAUGCUUUGGGGUUUUUCUUCAGCUGGAACCAAGACUUCAGUCAGGGUGGAGGGAAUUAUGAACAGUUCCAAAUACCAGGCAAUUUUGGCACAAAACAGUCUGGCGUGCAGCAUGAUAACAACCUAAAGCACACUUCCAAAUCCACAAAAGCAUGGCUUCACCAAAAGGAGAUUACCGUAUUGGAAUGGCCCGACCAGAGCCCAGACCUGAAUCCAAUUCAACAUCUGUGGGGUGAUCUUAAGAGGGCUGUCCACAGGAGCUGUCCUCGCAAUAUGACAGAUUUGGAGCACUUUUGCAAAGAAGAGUGGGCAAUUAUUGCCACGUCAAGAUGUGCCAUACUAAUACACACCUACCCAAAAAGACCGGGUGCUGUAAUAAAAUAAAAAGGUACUUCAACAAAGUAGUAGUUUAAGGGUGUGCACACUUACGCUACCAGGUUAUUGUACGUUUUUAUUUUCCCCCCUCAAAGAUUUCAGUUUGUUUUUAAUUUGAAUUGUUAUAGGUCACAUUAAAAGGUGUAAAAAGUUCUGAAAUGAUUUCUCUUUUUCACAUCACAGAAACCUGCCAUUUUAACAGGGGUGUGUAUACUUUUUUAUAUUUACUGUAUUUAGAUUUAACUUCUCAUUGACAUUUAUUAGGUAUUCUACUUGAUACAGCUCAAAUAAAAUAUAGCUUAGGUAAAAAAAAUCUUUAAAAAAUAAAAAGACAUAAUGAGUCACCACCUUUAGCUUACACCUUACAGCUACUAAUUGUAUCUAAUUAUCUGACAAGUAAAUGUGCUGUAUUUAUAUAGCUCUUUUCUAGUCUUAACGACUACUCAAAGCGCUUUUACAUCUACAGGAGACAUUCACCAUUCACACACAUUCAUACACUGUGGCCGGGGCUGCCGUACAAGGUGCCACCUGCUCAUCAGAUAAACACUCACACACAUUCACGCUCCGAUGGCGCAGCAUCGGGGGCAACUCGGGGUUCAGUGUCUUGCCCAAGGACACUUUGACAUGGGACUGCAGGGCCAGGGAUUGAACCACCAACCUACCACUGAGCCACAGCGCCCCCCAAGUAAGAGGAAUGAUUCCUGAAGACAAUCCACUACUCACCCUGGAUCCACUCCAGCUUCUUCUUCUUGUCCGACGCACUGAUUUCAAAACUCUUUUGCAACGACUUGAUGAGAAAGAGACACUUCUUCCCGUCUUUAUCUUGUAGAGCCUGCAUCAAAAAACAAAA